rnacentral:lncRNA from 1 species
UAAAAAGAAGCAGUGUUGGACACUGGGUAUCUGAUAUCUACAACCACCUUGUAAAGAACAGGAAAAACAAAAACUCGUCACCAUGAAUAAGUUCAUUACUGUUUGUCUAUUACUUGCUGUUUUGGGUAAGUUCUGAUUUACAUGAUAUGUUUAUGCCUAUUGCAUUUUCUCAAUUACGUGUUUCCUUGUUUUAAUCAUUAGUCAGUUUUAAAGUCUUCUACGAGUUAAGUUUUUUUGUGAGUUUACUUUUUUCAGUAUAUGUACCAAUGCCAUGUAUCCGAAACAAAAGUCAAACUAAAGAUUAAAUACCACAAGGCUAAGUAAAAGCAACCUUUUUUGGUUAGAGAAGCAUUGUUAAUUAAGUUUAUUACAUUGGUUGCAAUAAAUUACAUUGAUUUCCCAGUUAGAUAAAAACCGAUAAUUUCACAUGUGAAAUAAACGUGGUUAUUUCACUCUCUGACGUCAUACAACAAUAGGCGUUGUCAAGACGUCGAUAACGUCGGAUCAAAACAAAUUGUCAAUGCGUAGGAAAAAGAUAUAGUUCCUUACAUUUUCUACAUUAAUUUUAUAAAAAAAAGCCAAAUUUUGCCAAUGUAAUAAAAAGAAUAACUAAUCGCCGUAUUUGAAUAUCAAAAAUAAGACAACUUGUGACCGAACGCCGCUAUGGAUUAAACUCGUGCUGCGCACUCGUUUAAUCCAUGCGUCGUUCGGUCACGCGUUGUCUUAUUUUUGAUAUUCAAAUACGGCGAUUAGUUAUACUAUAAUUCUUUAUUAUCAACAAGUUUUACAAAAAUUAAAAAAAAAUGAAUAAAAUGAAAAAAUGAAUAAGAAACCAAAAUUUUCUCCAAUGAACAAUAUUUGAUUAGACUUUCCUGGCUUAAGAUUUAUUACACUGAGAAGACUGAUAGAGUUAAACCUUACAUUAUGCUUUCGUUCAUAAGCACUCAGUAACUACCAGAUACUUAGUAAAACUUUAUAGAAAUACCUCCCUAUCCUUUGUCUUUAACAUGUUUGUAUGCCCAACUUACGAUAGUUGAUGGGUUAAUAUGUGUUCUGGUCUGUGCGUCCGUUCGUUUGUCUGUCCGUCCGUUCAUUCGUUUGUCCGUCCGUCUGUCCCGCUUCAAUUAUAGUUUUUGGUUAAUGUAAUUUUUUUAUUAAGUUGAAGUCCAAUCAACUUCAAAUUUAGUACACAUGUUCCCUAUGAUAUGAGCUUUCUUAUUGUAAUGCCUAAUUAGACUUUUGAUCCCAAUUUCACGGUCAACUGAACAUAGAAAAUGAUAGUUUGAAUGGGGCAUCCGUGUACUAUGCACACAUUCUUGUUUAAAAGAAUUUUGGGAACCAAUUCCUGGUCAUUGCAGUACUGAUUGAUUAAUGUCAACAACGUCAGUCCUAUCAUUUAACAUACAACUAUGGAUCUCAAUUAAUUUUAUUCUAGGAAAUCUAUUACCUAAUAUUAAAUAUCUUUAUAACCAUUAAGAAAACAUUCGAUAAGGCAAGAUUAAAAAGAAUUUAAUCAAAAUCAGAAAACAAUAUCCCAAACAUUUUGUCAGUAAAAAGUAAAAUCAUAAAAAUACUAUACUUCCAGGAAAUUCAAAACGGAAAGUCCCUAAGUAACUGCCAAAAUUAAAUAAUAAAACACAUCAAACGAAUGAGCAACAACUGUCAUAGUCCUGACUUGGUACAGGCAUUUUCAAAUGUAGAAAAUGGUGGAUUGAACCUGGUUUUAUAGCGAUAAACCUCUCACUUGUAAUGACAGGUGCAUCAAAUUAUACAUACAACGAUGCGUAAAUUAAGUCACUUUACUCAUUGCUUUCCUGUAUCAUUUAGUGAUUUAUGAUACACAGAAAAGUAAGAUAACAAAAAUACUGACCUCCGAGUUAAAUUCUAAACGGAGAGUCCCUAAGCAAAUGGAAAAAUCAUAAGCUCAAACACAUCAAACGAAUGGAUAACAACUGUCUUAUUCCUGAUUUGAUACCGGUAUUUUCUUAUUUAUACAUUAUCUAUUCAUUCGAAUUCCCCGUUGAUUAAUGAAGAAAUUAUUAAGAAACUAAGCUAUGUAAAUCUUUACUUAAUUUAUGUAUUCUUUGUAUGUCUUUUCGUCCUAACGUUUCUACCUGAUUAAGGACUUUCCGCUUUAAAUUUUCCUCGGUGUUUGGUAUUUUUCGUGAUUUUACAUUUUGUACAUCUUUUCUUAAUGACGUGUUUUUUGUAGGAUGUACGUUGGCAACUGCAGAAGAUGGUUUGUGCGCAUGUGGUAUGAUAUAUGAUCCUGUGUGUUCAAUGACUGGGAAAACGUAUUCCAACGAAUGUGUACUGAACUGCAAGUAAGUGCUUUUUACUCAUUGAUUGGUGCAUUUUAUUUUAUUAACAGCUUUGCGAAGUUAAGGUUAUAUACAAUAUAUUGUUACAUAUUUUUAUAGAGUCGAUUAAAAAAAUUUCAGUUCAACUUUCAAAGUGUGGAGUUGUUUGAAAAAGCCAUGAGUGGUACAGACACAAAAUGAAGAAUAUUGCAAACUCGAUUAUUGGUGCCGUCCGUAAUCAUAUCAACACAAACACUUGCGAUUUUGAAUCGUCUAUGUGGCCCAUUGUGUGUCAUUUCGUCUUCAAUCAAAACCUGAUAAGUUCGUUGCUGAAUCAGAUUAGUGCUGAAACGCAGAAAAAAAACAAUAAGUCCGUUACUAUUCUACAUCGUGAUAAAUAAAUAUGUCUAAACUAAUAAAACCUGUUUUGACAAAAACAGUAUAAAAUCAAAAUGCAAACUGAAUUUAAUUCAAAAUAAUGUAAGACGAAGGUGGUUGUCUAAUAAAUUUCCAUAAUGUAGGUGAUAGACAACCAGAUAAACGACAACAUAGUUUAUGAAUACUGAUUCGUAUUGAAAAUAAAAUAGAUGAAAACCCGUUGUAUCUGAAUACUAUUCAAUUUUAGCCCAUUUUCCGAAACUUAAAAUGGUUAUAUCAUAUACAUUGUAUAUUACAUUGAAAUCCAAAAUUUCUUAUGCACUUUUUUAAGUUGCCCUCCCUAACUAGAAACUUUGUUUUGACACCAUCAGUUAAUGCGUUAUAAAAGAGGCUAUAAUCAAUACAUGUUUAAGAAAAAUUCUCAUAUAUGUUUACAGCGCUGGUGAAGUGGUUGCAUCACGUGGAGUAUGUCCAACUAAGAAGUAACCUCAACAAUUUGCAACGGUACGUAUAUACAGUACUGUCUGACCAUGUAAACAUAGUAGAUGGAUAUGUGGUAGAUAUAUUAAGGUAGCACUACAGUCUAACAAUGAUU